UACGAGGGGGGCGAGCGUUGUUCGGAAUUAUUGGGCGUAAAGGGCGCGUAGGCGGUCGGAUAAGUCUUGUGUGAAAUCUUCGGGCUCAACUCGAAGUCUGCACAGGAAACUAUCUGGCUUGAGUGUGGGAGAGGUGAGUGGAAUUCCUGGUGUAGCGGUGAAAUGCGUAGAUAUCAGGAGGAACACCCGUGGCGAAAGCGGCUCACUGGACCACAACUGACGCUGAGGCGCGAAAGCUAGGGGAGCAAACAGG
rnacentral:rRNA from 1 species